rnacentral:lncRNA from 1 species
CAGGGGCUCAGCCCGCACUCGUCCUCCCAUGCAGUUCCCAUCAUGCUCACCCCUUUGGUGGUCCUGGAUGGGAUGUCACUGUAACUUCAGGUUAAAAUAAUAACUUAUCACGCAUCGUUUCAUACUUGAGAGUGCUUUGAUCCCCAGCAGCUCACUCAGCAGUAAGAGGUCCCGUCCUCUGGAAAUGUAUGCCCAUUAAAUCACACCGGCUCUCCACAGCGCUCCUCCUCGACAUCACAGGCAUAUGAUUGAUUACAGAAGUUUGCCUUGACUUGAUCGGAGUGGAGUUUGGUGAAAUCCUAAGCCCGGCGUCAGCAAUCCAUGACAGGGAAGGAAAGAGGAGCAGCGGUGACUUUGUUGAUGCUGGAAAUCACGUAAGCCCUUAUCGGAAGUCUGUCCGCCGGUGUGUUAACUGAUCCGCCUCAAGUGCGAAAAAUUACUGGGGGAAAAAAGGUGCUUUUCAUACAAUGAGCGCCACCGGAUCAGGAGUAAUUCACUGGAUCCUGCAGGUGCUGGCAGAGAGGGGUUUACUCGUCUGAGGAGCCUGAAGAAGAACAUGAUAAAUGUGUCUGACCGGAACUCUACUCCGCAGUGUGCUGGUGGUUCUCUUGUUGGCAGACACUUGUGGUAAACGUAGAUGUAAUUAUAAAGAAAUAUUGGGCUCCUACAGAGAAGUCAUCUUCGUUGAGCUGCAGAAUCUGAAUUUGACAGGUUCAUAUGAUACCACCAAAGAAAGAGAACCAUGUCCCCCAGGAAAGGUACGUCGCAUCCUGGUUUCAAUUUAUGGUAUGACACAGCAGAUUCUGUGUCAGAGGGGUAGCAAGCAGCCCUCUGACCUGGAAAGGCCACUGCAAAGCAUGGAGCAGCUUAUAAUUCACAACUGCAGUCCUGAUUACCUGGGGAAGACAAUCUCUUGUUCAGGUGUGCAGAAAAUACGAGGAAAGAAGAGGAAGAGGAUCAGGUUAAUCAAAGUUAUCAGGGCACUGAUAACUUGUUGGCAGAAACUUCAGAGUGUAUAUAUGCUCUCAAAGUAGGAAAUGUUCUGUCUUCAGAGCCCCGCUCGCCUGCUACUUUCUCACGAAGAGAUUACUUGUUUUCCAGCAAAUCCAUCGCAUCAAGCAGAUGAUACUAUGAAUGACCCGCUGGACUUUCAAAUGCGAUGUCAUGAAUGUUUACAGUUGUUAAGUUCUCAGUGUUUAAACUAAAUCCAACUUUGCAUGCUCCCUGUUUUAUGAAAGAGUUUUAGAGUAACCAUGGAUAAGCUAAAACUACUUACAAUGCAUUCAAGUACUUUUAGAAGACAUUUUCCAAGGUCUCUUUUUUGUAACAACCUUUAUUUUUGUAUGGCAAGCCAUGUACCCUUGAAAUGUUUCUCUCCCACUUAUUUUUUAUAUGCCAUGUAAUAAAAAGUUUAAUGCCUUUUCAUUAAUAUUGUUAUUGUUAUCAAUUUUUAUUGGUCUAAUAUAUUUGGUUUCAUUGGCGUAUCUUGCACAAAGCCAACAGCAGAUUUCUAAUGUUUACAAUACGUUUUUCUCUGUUAACAUCUUAUAUAUGGCAAUAAAUUAAUGAAUGUCAAGAAAAAAAAAAACACAUUUAUAUAUAGUAGAAGAGCAUUACUUAAUGUACAUUAUAUUUCCUUCGUAUCUUAGGAGUCUUUGGCCAUUGUUAAAAGCGGUCUAUAAAUAAAAUGUAUGAUUCUUUC